rnacentral:rRNA from 1 species
GUGCCAGCAGCCGCGGUAAUACGUAGGGCGCAAGCGUUGUCCGGAAUUAUUGGGCGUAAAGAGCUCGUAGGCGGCUUGUCGCGUCUGCUGUGAAAACGCAAGGCUUAACCUUGCGCCUGCAGUGGGUACGGGCAGGCUAGAGUGCGGUAGGGGAGACUGGAAUUCCUGGUGUAGCGGUGGAAUGCGCAGAUAUCAGGAGGAACACCGGUGGCGAAGGCGGGUCUCUGGGCCGUUACUGACGCUGAGGAGCGAAAGCAUGGGGAGCGAACAGGAUUAGAAACCCUUGUAGUCC